GACGAACGCUGGCGGCGUGCUUAACACAUGCAAGUCGAGCGGUAAGGCCCUUUCGGGGUACGACGAGCGGCGAACGGGUGGAGUAACACGUGGGUGACCUCGCCCUCCAGCUCUGGGAGUAAGCCUCGGGAAACCGGGGUACUAAUACCGGAUAUGACUCCAUGACGCAUGUUGUGGGGUGGAAAGCCUUGUGCGGCUGAGGAUGGGCCCGGCGGCCUAUCAGCUUGUUGGUGGGGUGAUGGCCUACCAAGGCGACGACGGGUAGCCGGCCUGAGAGGGCGACCGGCCACACUGGGACUGAGACACGGCCCAGACUCCUACGGGAGGCAGCAGUGGGGAAUCUUGCGCAAUGGGCGAAAGCCUGACGCAGCGACGCCGCGUGAGGGAUGACGGCC
rnacentral:rRNA from 1 species